rnacentral:rRNA from 1 species
CCUACGGGUGGCAGCAGUGAGGAAUAUUGGUCAAUGGACGCAAGUCUGAACCAGCCAUGCAGCGUGCAGGAAGACGGCUCUAUGGGUUGUAAACUGCUUUUGUACAGGGGUAAACUCAGAUACGCGUGCCUUUCUGUACGUAUCUUACGAAUAAGGAUCGGCUAACUCCGUGCCAGCAGCCGCGGUAAUACGGAGGAUUCAAGCGUUAUCCGGAUUUAUUGGGUUUAAAGGGUGCGUAGGCGGGCGGAUAAGUCAGUUGUGAAAGCCCGCGGCUCAACUUCGGAAUUGCAUCUGAUACUGUCAGGCUAGAGAGCAGUUGAGGUAGGCGGAAUGCAUGGUGUAGCGGUGAAAUGCUUAGAGAUCACACAGAACACCGAUUGCGAAGGCAGCUUACCAAGCUACGGCUGACGUUGAGGCACGAAAGCGUGGGGAGCAAACAGGAUUAGAUACCCGAGUAGUC